AUGGGGAGAAUAAUUAGAAGGAAAAAAAGAGGCAGCGGAAGCUUAACAGGCAAGGAGAAGGGCGCUCUGCAUUCAGAUUCCUUUUCCUCUUCCUCGCCCACACGCAACCGUCUGACCUCUCCUCUCUCCCCUGUGCUCUCCGCCGCCGCCGCCGCCGCCCUGCCUCACCCCACCUCCUUCCCUUGGCCGGCGCUCCACCCAUCCGCUCUCCCCAUUUUUGUGCGAAACCCGCGAUGGCGGCGGCUGAUUGAUGUGGGAUUUGGCGGUAGCGACGGGGCCUCAAGCAGGGAUACGAGGAGGAAGGAAGAUGGUUGUAGAUCCAUGAGGAGCACGAGGCGGCGAUCCAUAAUAGAUCCUGGGAUCAGCAUCAUGGCCGCGGAGACAAAGGCCUUCUUCCACUCAAGGCCGACCGCAGCCACGACGUUCCCCCAUGCCUCGGCGAGGUGGGCCAAGCUGGCGCAUACGGCAAAGAGCGGCUGCGGCAGCGGUGGAGUUGCGGGGGCUGGUGGUGGAUAUUGCUGCGAAAUCGACUGGUGGCGCCGCCGUGGAAAGCUUCCAUGCUCUGCAGCCGCACGGCAAGUCUUCCUCCUCCUGCUGCUGCAUCACAAAUUAGUUCAAUAUACUGUGAGUGAGCGAGCAAAGGACUAA
rnacentral:rRNA from 1 species